UGCCUGCUCUGUGGUGCUGGAAAACCCCCAUGGCCCCCUUCAGCCUCGUUCUGUGCCAGCUCCAGGGUGAUCCCACCAGAAAGGGGGCCCAGCUCCCAGGAGAGGGCAAGGGGGAAGCCCCGAGAACUCAGCAUUUGCUAAGGGAGCAGCUCUUAAAGCUCCCCAUCCGCACUCCCCACUGCACCUAGAGG